GGUAGGUAGGUAGGUAGGUUAUUACCUACCUACCUACCUACC
rfam:Octopus bimaculoides Scaffold52908_contig_44, whole genome shotgun sequence.